GCUUAUGGCCAUACUGGUUUGUCAAAGCCUGAUCUCGUCAGAUCUCAAAAGCUAAGUGGGACUGGACCUGGUUAGUUAUUGGACUGGAAACCACUGGGAGUACCAGGUGCCACAAUGA
rnacentral:rRNA from 1 species